rnacentral:tmRNA from 1 species
GGGGAUGAUCGGUUUCGACGACGGUCGUGUUUCCAGGUGAAGCGGGUAGAGGAUGCAGAGUUAUCUCUCUAACGCUCUCUGCAAACCAAUAGGUGCCGAUUCCAAGCGCACCGACUUCGCCCUCGCCGCCUGAGCGAGCCACGAAGUCCGUCAGCCCGGGUACGCUCUCGACCCGGAUCCUGGCGUCGACUAGAGAGCCACUGCUCGUGACCCACGUUCAUCGGGGUUACGGGGACUUUUAGAUGACUGGGCCCGUCAGCAGCUUGUCCGUGUGACUGCUGGGGCCGAGAAAAUCAGCAGCGGACUGCACCCGGAGAAGCCCUGCUUUCACGCCGUCGGACGCGGGUUCGAUUCCCGCCAUCUCCACGA